rnacentral:rRNA from 1 species
AACGUAGGACGCAAGCGUUAUCCGGAGUUACUGGGCGUAAAGCGCGGGCAGGCGGUUGUCUAAGUCUGAUGUGAAAGCGCUCGGCUCAACCGAGCGAUGCCAUUGGAAACUGGGCAACUGGAGUCUGGCAGAGGUAGGCGGAAUUCCGGGUGGAGUGGUGAAAUGCGUAGAGAUCCGGAGGAACACCAGAGGCGAAGGCGGCCUACUGGGCCAGUACUGACGCUGAGCCGCGAAAGCCAGGGGAGCGAACGGG